UUUUUUUUUGGUUUAUUUGUGUAAUAUAAUUUUUAUAUUAUUUAGUUCUAAAUAGAUAUGAUAGAGGUAUAUAAUUAUUAUAAUAUUAUACUUAUAUGUUAUAUGCAUAUUAAAUAUUAUAGUAUAUAAACACACACGGAUAUAAUAGUAUAUUAUAUUUUAUUAAAUUAUAAUAAUAUGUAGUAAAUAUAUUAUAAUUCGAUCGAAUACAAAUCUAUAAUGUUAUAAUCGAAAGAAAAAUAACGUAAUAAUUAUAUAAUUAUAGUAAUAUAUUGUUAAUGUAAUAAAACUUAAACAGAACAUUGGCAUCUUUUAUGUGCGAAAACGCUAUACCUAACUAAUAAUAUAGUAUUAUUGCUAUUAUUUAUUUAUUUAUUUAUUUUUUUUUUUGAUAAUGCUUAUAUUCUAAAUAUUGUUUAAUUUUUUUAUGAUUAUAUAAUAUAUAAGUAGCGACAACGUGAAUAAAAACAACUGUUUGCUAAUCAUAUGAUAGUAUUAUGUAAAUUAUUAUAAAUCAAUAAACAUUGCUAAUAAUCUUAAAACGAAAAUAUUAUUAUUACUAUAUAAAAUAAUGUCAUGCUAAUAUUAAUAUUAUACUCGACGGUAAAAAGAUAAUAAUAUUAUAAUUUUAUUCUUGAAUAUUAUUAUAUUAAAUAGGUUAUCGUAAUAGUAUUAUACACACAAAUCGAAAAUCGGAAUAGUACUUAAUAAAUAAUUAAUAAUAAUAUAAUAUUAAAAUUUUGAUUUGAAAUUGGAAAAAAAAAAAAACACAACAACACGAUAUUCGCUAUAUUUUAAUAAUAUAUAAUAAUGUUAAAGUCAACGUUAAAACACUAGAUUAAUGAGGACGGGGGUAGGGGUUCGGUAGGGCGGCCAAUAAUUUAACCGAAGUCGGUAAUACGGUAUUACAAUGGUACGUACAGUGAAACAUAACAGCCGCUUUGAAAUAUCAUGCAUGUAUAAUAUCGUAAACGCAAUAUGGUUUUUUUAAAAAAAUGGAGUUUUUGUUGUAAAAACCUUUGAUGAAUUUAUUGAAUUGUUUGGUUCGAUGAGAUAAUCGUGAUUGCGCGUUAUCGGUACGGGCAAGGCAGUCAACGGCACUGCAGACGGAAUAACGUAAAAGAUUACUCGAAUUUUAAAUAAAGGAAACACAGCAAAAAAAAAAAAAAAUCCGAUAAAACAGUUAGAGGCGCGACUGUUGCAGUGUGUGUGUGUGUAUGUGUGUGUGCGCGUGUUUAUGAAACGGAAACGAAAAAUCUUUAUAACAUUAUGCGCGCAACGACUAAAAUUUUAAAAUAACACGUACGUUGUAUCGCAUUGAAACGUCCGCUGUAGACUCUGAACAAUCACUACGGGUAACUCCUUAUCAUCGUUAUAACAACAAUUAUUAGUUACUCAUACGUAUAUUUAUAUAUACAUAUAUUUUAAUAUAAUAUUAUUAUAUGUACACACGCGUUAAUAUUAGGUCUAUGGUACUGUGUGUCUAAACGAAAUGUCGUAUAAUGUUGUUGUUGUAGUAUAUAUGGAAAAAAAACGUCCAAACUAAAUUUUUUUUUUUUUUUUCAACGUAAUAUUUUUAUUUUUUUUUUUCCCCCCCCCCAUUAAAUUUCCACGCCACAAUAUAAUAUUAUAGCCGCCGUGUUACGUCAUGAUAAUGCACUGUACGUCCGUCGCGUACACUGGCUGACCAAUGGACUGCGCUCUCCUAUCGACUUUACCCUGCCUCCCCAAACACGCCCGCCGUGGUGGUUCCCAGCCAACAUAACGCAACAGGUGUCGUUGAUGACGUUGUUAUUUUUUAUAUUUUUUUCACAUUUUCUUUUAGCCGGUGUUGUUUUCCGAAUAUUUCAACAUGCAAGGCCGAUUAUCGUCGCGAAUAUUUCAAACAACGGUAUAAUAUUAUAAUUUUUCGGGUCAAUAAAAAAAAAAAAAACGCGCGCGAUCGUCGAAUAAUAAUUGACGGGCCGUUUCUUUUCCCACGGCCCCGGCUCGUUUCGAACACAUUUUUUUUUCCGAUCUCCGAGCGCAUUUAUCAUCAGUUCUACUACUGCGUUUAGGCCCGUGCUUUCAGUUUAUUAUCAAGCGGCGAAAUGUCGGAUUAUGAACACGCGCAGUAUUCGUAUCGCGGCCAGACAUAAUUAUCCGGACCGCGGUCACGACGAGCCGACAGAUGGGUAAGCGAUGAGAACUACCUGCGAUGUGCGCAGAUAUUACAAAAUAUCGAAU
rnacentral:lncRNA from 1 species